UGCAGGGAGGAUUCAGUACCUGGCACAUCUUGUCCUACAUGUCAUGCAGAAGUUGUCCCGGCCAAACUACCUGGGCACAUGCAUCCUGAUCCUUCUGUGGGUGAAAACCAUUGGAUGGGCCUCUGGUGAUGGCACAGCACUCUGUGUAGAUCCAGUCAGCUCUGUGCUCACCUGCAUUCUUACAGAAGUUUGCUCACAAUAUAGAUUCAUCAGCCUCUAUAGCAAUCAGACCUGGCAGACCUCUUCCUAGUACUCAUUUCCAUACUCCCCGCCCUUAGCUCCUCCCGGUUGCGCCUGCGCAAUGUAGCCUGGUGGUCAUGGGCUGGGGUCUUUCAGGAUGAAGGCAACAAGGAAGAGGAGGUUAAACUUUUUACCUUCCCGGACUUUGACCUUCUGUUGGACAGUUCUUACGGUUAUGAUACUAUGCCCUUAGCAACAAGUGACCAAAACAUGAAUAUCCAACCACUGCAUAAGAAUAGCCUGUGUGGAAGAAUGUAGAAAGUUUUGAAGCACGAACGCAUAAUUUCAGGCCAAGAAAAAUUUGGUUCAGUAAAAGAAGUUCAACAUUGAGUAGAAGAUGGUAUAUUACAUGUGCAGCAACAUGCCUGAGGACAAAAUUCUGGGAAUGCUGCCAAGCCCGUGAUCCCAGCAUGGAGAUCUGCAAGUGAUCAAGGCUGGUUGGUUUGAAGGUCAGAUUAUUGUAUCCAGGGAACAUAGUUCUGGAUAUGUCCUUGAGCCAGAAGAUGGUGAAAGUUAGGAGAUGGAAAACUUAUUUCGAAUAGGGAUCCAUGUUAAAAGAUUGAUAAGUAGAUGGGACAUUGUAUGAACCAUUUGUGGAUUAGACAUGUAAAACCUCAUCAGAGGAACAGAAUUAGGAAGCUGAAUGGUGGAUAUGCCUCUUAAAGUAUUUGGUAGCCUGAGGCAUGUGAUACAAUCAGUAAUAGCAAAUAUCAGUGCCCAACAGAAACAUGAAGAUCAAGAAUACAGGAAAGAGAAAAGAAGACAGAGGAAUAAAUAAACAUAUGCCAUAAUAUGUUACAUGAUAACUGGAAACAUACCCCACAUGUGCGAUUCCUCAAGUCAUUGACUCAGCUGGAGGCCUUUGCUUCAUUAUGAAGUGCCUAUAACUAUCCUCCAAGAUGUGAAGAUGGAGAAGAGGUUGCAAUUGAUGAAUAACCCUCAGUCAUCCUGAUUUCACGAAAGUGGUACAUGAAAACAGAACUGUUACAGAGGUAUUACAGAAGAGAGUGCAUAGUAAUUUGGAAGGACAUAAAUGACCAGUUAUUCCUGAUCUUGGCGAUUUUAAGAAGCUCCAGCUCAUUGGCAUCUAGAAUUUAGCUCGUUCCAGACUUUCUUUUUAGAAUAAAUAUGCUCUACAUUAUGCCCUAAAGUUCACUAGAAACUCCUUAAGAAGGAGAUAUUUUAGUCUGGUUAUCAGGGAUGGAUCAGAAUGGUCAGAGAUACAAGAGAAAAUUAGGUGGAAUGAUAUAAAUGAAGGUGUCUGUCUGAAUAUGUAUCUCUGUGGAGGUGGGGGACGCAGCUUUGUAUAUGAAGUUGUUGACUGAAGAACACAAUGUGCAGGAUAAAGGAAAAGGACCAUCUGUGACUAUAAAUAGGAUGGGUUCUCUGUCAAAUCAAAUCAGUGAAAUGCCAGAGUGAAAAAUGGAGACAUGCAUAACAGUUGAAAUGUAUGGACAGCAAAGAGCAUUCUGCCAUUUUAAUAUCCCAUAGAUAUCAGUAUUAUUCAUAGGAAGGGGGGGACUUGGAAGUUUGGCAAGGAGUCAAGGACAUGACAUGGCUGUAUGUUCCUGACCUAGCCCCAGUUCACAAAGUGAACAUCCUGCCCCUGCUGAUAAUCAUUAGGUCACUGUGACUCAAGCUUCUGAUUGCAACUUUGCAUUGUUUGAUGUGUAACCACGUGGGCAUGAUAAUAUAUUAUCUACUGUCAAAAAUGAAAGAGUAUAUAAGUUAAAGCAGGGAUGUCCCUGAGCUGAGUACCAGUUGGAACCCUGUCCUGACAGUCAGCUUCCCUUGUCCCUCUGUGGAGGGGAACUUACCACACUCUUUGGAGUGUGAGUAUAUUACUAAUAAAGUGAUAGCUG